rnacentral:rRNA from 1 species
UACGGAGGGGGCAAGCGUUGUUCGGAAUUACUGGGCGUAAAGGGCGUGUAGGCGGCACUACAAGUCGGAUGUGAAAUCCCCGCGGCUUAACCGUGGAAGUGCACCCGAAACUGCAGAGCUUGAGUACCGGAGAGGAUGGCGGAAUUCCCCAAGUAGAGGUGAAAUUCGUAGAUAUGGGGAGGAACACCGGUGGCGAAGGCGGCCACCUGGACGGUUACUGACGCUGAGACGCGAAAGCGUGGGGAGCAAACAGG